rnacentral:rRNA from 1 species
AUUGAACGCUGGCGGCGUGCCUAACACAUGCAAGUCGAGCGGUAACGGGUGUAGCAAUACAUGCUGACGAGCGGCGAACGGGUGAGUAAUGCUUCGGAAUCUACCCAAUGGUGGGGAAUAACCAGCCGAAAGGUUGGCUAAUACCGCAUACGUCCCACGGGAGAAAGCAGGGGAUCGCAAGACCUUGCGCCAAUGGAUGAGCCGAAGUCGGAUUAGCUAGUUGGAGGGUAACGGCCUACCAAGGCGACGAUCCGUAGCUGGUCUGAGAGGACGACCAGCCACACUGGGACUGAGACACGGCCCAGACUCCUACGGGAGCAGCAGUGGGGAAUAUUGGACAAUGGGGGAAACCCUGAUCCAGCGACGCCGCGUGUGU